AGUGAACGCUGGCGGCGUGCCUAAUACAUGCAAGUCGAACGGAGUGGCGCACGGGUGAGUAAUAUAUAGCUAAUCUUCCCCUUGCUGGAGGACAACAGUUAGAAAUGACUGCUAAUACUUCAUAGCAAGGGGUGAGACUAUAUCGUAUCAGCUAGUCGGUGGGGUCCGGCCUACCGAGGCUAUGACGCGUAACUGGUCUGAGAGGAUGAUCAGUAACAUUCGAACUGAGACACGGUCCAAACAUCUUCGGGAGGCAGCAGUAGGGAAUAUUGCGAAAUGGGCGAAACCCUGACGCAGCAUCGCCGCGUAGAGCAUGAUUCUUUGCGGAGCGCAAACUCCUUUUGUUAGGAAAGCGGUACCUAACGAAUAAGCACCGGCUAACUCCGUGCCAGCAGCCGCGGUAAUAC
rnacentral:rRNA from 1 species